rnacentral:rRNA from 1 species
GAGCUGACGAGCGGCGGACGGGUGAGUAACGCGUAGGAAUCUACCCAGUAGCGGGGGAUAGCCCGGGGAAACUCGGAUUAAUACCGCAUACGCCCUAAGGGUGAAAGUGGGGGAUCUUCGGACCUCACGCUAUUAGAGGAGCCUGCGUAAGAUUAGCUAGUUGGUGGGGUAAAGGCCCACCAAGGCGACGAUCUUUAGCUGGUCUGAGAGGAUGAUCAGCCACACUGGGACUGAGACACGGCCCAGACUCC